ensembl:lncRNA novel transcript
GCAGGCGCGGGUGGCUUGGCCCGCGUGGGCUCCGAACUGCGGCGGCUCCGCUAGACAGUUGCAGAAGCUGGCGGACGGCCGGGACCCCCUGCCUUGCGCAGCCAGGCGUCGAGGAGGCGGCGGCGAGUGCUGCGGUGCUGGCUGGGUGGCCGAGUGGUCCCCGCAGCCUCUGGACCCAGCCAUGCUGCUCUGGAUGCAGGGCUUCGUGCUGGAGGCGGUGGCCUGCCAGGAUAACGAUGACUACUUACGCUACGGGAUCCUCUUCGAAGACCUGGAUUGCAAUGGGGACGGCGUGGUGGACAUCAUUGAGCUCCAGGAGGGGCUGAGAAACUGGAGCUCCGCGUUUGACCCCAACUCCGAGGAGCAUGGAUAGUGAUGGAUCAAUGACAGUAGACUGGGAUGAAUGGAAGUACUACUUUUUACUGCAUCCUGCAACAAAUAUCACUGAAAUGAUUCAUUUCUGGAAGCAUUCUACUUAUAAGAAAUUGCUUAGUUUUGAUGGUGUUCAUUUAGGAAUUCUUGAAAGAUUUAUAUUUGGCUCAUUGGCUGGUGUAACUGCCCAGACCUGUAUUUACCCCAUGGAGGUACUAAAGACCAGACUGGCUAUAGGUAAAACUGGAGAGUAUUCAGGGAUUAUUGAUUGUGGCAAGAAGCUUCUAAAACAAGAAGGUGUCAGAUCCUUUUUCAAAGGUUAUACUCCUAACUUGCUAGGCAUUGUACCUUAUGCCGGCAUAGAUCUUGCUGUUUAUGAGAUUUUGAAGAAUUUUUGGCUAGAAAAUUAUGCAGGAAACUCUGUGAAUCCUGGGAUAAUGAUUUUGGUGGGAUGUAGUACAUUGUCUAAUACUUGUGGUCAGUUAGCCAGUUUCUCUGUGAACCUUAUUAGAACUCGCAUGCAGGCUUCAGCCCCAGUGGAAAAAGGAAAAACAACUUCUAUGAUUCAGCUCAUUCAAGAAAUAUAUACCAAAGAAGGAAAAUUGGGAUUUUACAGGGGUUUCACCUCAAACAUCAUAAAGGUGCUUCCUGCAGUAGGCGUUGGCUGUGUGGCCUAUGAGAAAGUGAAGCCACUUUUUGGAUUAACCUGGAAGUGAUAUAUAAAAUUGUUGUCAUUGUAAUCACUUAAUUGUAAGAUAAUACCUGUGUUAUAAAGAGAUGUUAUCUUUUCCUAAGAGGAAAGAAAUGUCAGAUAAUUGUUAAAAUAUUUUUUCAUUAUUACAAAAUACAUAAAU